rfam:Schistosoma haematobium scaffold557_2, whole genome shotgun sequence.
AUCCAGCUGAUGAGUCUCAAAUUGAACGAAACGCGCGUCAAACUGGAU